GACGAACGCUGGCGGCGUGCUUAACACAUGCAAGUCGAACGGAAAGGCCUUUUCGGAGGUACUCGAGUGGCGAACGGGUGAGUAACACGUGGGUGAUCUGCCCUGCACUCUGGGAUAAGCCUGGGAAACUGGGUCUAAUCCCGGAUAGGACCGCACUUUAGUGUGUGUGGUGGAAAGUUUUUUCGGUGUAGGAUGAGCCCGCGGCCUAUCAGCUUGUUGGUGGGGUAAUGGCCUACCAAGGCGGCGACGGGUAGCCGGACUGAGAGGUUGGUCGGCCACAUUGGGACUGAGAUACGGCCCAGACUCCUACGGGAGGCAGCAGUGGGGAAUAUUGCACAAUGGGCGCAAGCCUGAUGCAGCGACGCCGCGUGGGGGAUGACGGCCUUCGGGUUGUAAACUCCUUUCGCCAGGGACGAAGCGUUUUGUGACGGUACCUGGAGAAGAAGCACCGGCUAACUACGUG
rnacentral:rRNA from 1 species